rnacentral:rRNA from 1 species
UGGUGACUAUUGCGAUGGUGUCCACCUCUUCCCAUUCCGAACAGAGAAGUUAAGCCCGUCCGCGCCGAUGGUACUGCCGUAAUAGGUGGGAGAGUAGGUCGUUGCCAGACU